ensembl:snRNA U6 U6 spliceosomal RNA
GUGUUCAGUUUGGCAGCAUAUAUACUAAAAUUGGAAUGAUACAGAAAAGAUUAGCAUAACCCCUGCUCAAGGAUGACACACAAAUCUGUGAAGCAUUUCACAUUAAA